AUUGAACGCUGGCGGCAGGCCUAACACAUGCAAGUCGAGCGGAAGAAGGGAGCUUGCUCCUGGAUUCAGCGGCGGACGGGCGAGUAAUGCCUAGGAAUCUGCCUGUCUGCUUUUGAGAACGUGCUGACACGGGCGCAAAUACCGCAUACGUCCUGAGGGAGAAAGGGGGGGAGCUUCGGACCUUACGCUAUCAGAUGAGCCUAGGUCGGAUUGGCUAGUUGGUGGGGUAAAGGCCUACCAAGGCGACGAUCCGUAACUGGUCUGAGAGGAUGAUCAGUCACACUGGAACUGAGACACGGUCCAGACUCCUACGGGAGGCAGCAGUGGGGAAUAUUGGACAAUGGGCGCAAGCCUGAUCCAGCCAUGCCGCGUGUGUGAAGAAGGUCUUCGGGUUGUAAAGCACUUUUAGUGGGGAAGAAGGGCAGUAAGUUAAUACCUUGCUGUUUUGACGUUACCAACAGAAUAAGCACCGGCUAACUUCGUG
rnacentral:rRNA from 1 species